rnacentral:lncRNA from 12 species
AUGUCAACCGCACUUCGGGGCAAAAUUUUUGCACAGAUGCUCCGCCCACCCGCCUCUCCCCAAAUCCAGCUAAAACACCCCACCUCGGGCCGCCAAAGUGGGUUCCGUUGUACGAUGCGAGGGACUGUAUUUUUUUUUUUUUUUUUUUUACGAGAAAACAAGCAUCCAAAAAAAAAAAAAAAAAUUCAAACUGCUCGGGCGGGCCAAUGGGGAAGGAGCGGGAGGUGGGCGGAGGAAGAGCGCGGCGGGCGGGGCGGGCGCGCGGGCUGGUACCGCAGGGGAUUCGUGCAAACGCGCCGGGCGCACGGUUUGGGGCUUUUUUUUUUUUUUUUUUUUUUUGCUUUUUUUUUUUUUUCUCCUCUUUCCUCCCUUUCCUCCCAAACCAGCCACAGCGCGAGACUCCGCCUGAAGCUGCAGCCUUUUGGAUCCACCUUAAAUCUUCGGUGGACUCGGCGCAGGGGACACCUUUUCGGUCCGAGGGAAGCUUGCGGACAGCAAGUGCGUACGCUCGCAAGGAUGAAGAUGAAAUGGCGAAGGCAGCGUUGCGCGGCCGCGGAGGAAGGUCGCUCGGCGCGGCGGGGCGGUGGGCGCGCCCCUGUCCUGUGGAUCCGCGGUCCCUUCCGUCCUCCAGUCACAGCCCCAGCCCCACGUUUGCCCAUUUCUUCCCUGCCCCGGUGCCCCGCGCUCGACAGCGGGGAUGCGAUGGGGCGGGGGGGGGGACUCCGCCGGGCGGCUCUAAGGUUGGAAGGGACCCCGCGGGCGGCGGUGGCGCUCGGCCCCUCCUGCGCGCCGCCGCGGUCCUCCCCGGCCGCCGGCGAGCCGGGCAGCCUUUCGAAAUGCGCGGGGCUGCGGAUCAUUGGAGCCCAGGGUGGGGGUGGGAGCGGGCGGCUGCCCGGGAGGGCCCACGGACUCGGGAAGGUUCUCCCGUUCGCUCAGCUCCCCGGCCCGCCACCGCCCGAGAACUGGCAAGGUGCUGGUGUGCAGAGAAUGCCUGUGGAAAGGAGCGGGGGCUUCCGCUUCUUCUGA